GGUAGCGGGGAGGGAGGUCUUUUUGUCUCCUUUGACCAUUCCUGUACCCCUCGUUCCUUCAAUGGUACCCUGCCAGAGCGCACUCAGUAAAUGUCUGCAGGACUUUGGAGGGGGAAACAGAGGCUGGUCAAGAUUUAGUGAUGGGCCAAGACUCAGGGGUCCUGCUCACUCCCCUGCAUCCUAGGGGACCCUGGGUGGAUGGGGGAGCACUCACUCCAGCACAUCGCGGUUGAACUGCUUCUUGCUGUUGCCCAGGAACUCCCCAAUCAUCUGCCGGCUGAGGCCCUUGCGCUGGAGCAGGAAGUGGGCCACUCCGAUGGGGGUGUCAGGGAUGAAGCCUCGGGAGAUCAGGAACUGGAUGCCUUUGUCCGGGUUUCUAGGGGCGGGGGUGGAGGUGGGAAGGAGUAGAGAGUGAGCCAAGGCCACCCAUGACUUCUUUCCUCUCUUUCUUCCAGCCCAUGGAACCCAUAAAAGUGCCUGGAGGUUUCUGGAAAGAAUUCCUAGGAAUUGUAAGGAUUCCUACCAUUGCAGAGGGGCUCUGGAUCCGAAGUACCUCUCACCAGGGCCUCGCCUUCCUGAACACCCGCCAGCACCACCACCACCAACUACAGGAGUGAAGAUAUUGUUCAGAAGUCUGCAUAUGUUUUAUGCAAAGGGAGCCACGGACAGGAACUACUGCCCCCUAGAAGACAAGCUUCUUGAGACCAGGGGGUGCGUACUACUCAUCCUCGUGGUUGUCGUGCUGUGGUAUCAAUAGUAUCUCAAGGAGGAGGCGUGGCCCAAACGCCACCUGGGAGGGCACUGGGAUGAUGUGGCACCCUGCUCACCUGUAAAUGCAGGUCCUCCCCCACCCCGCCCCCAAGCCAGCCUCUUCUCUGCUCCCAGGACUCCUUGAAGCUCCAGGGCCAGUGCUCACUCACAUGUUGAAGAGGUUGAGGCCGAUGCGGUAGAGCCGCUUGCGCAGUGUGUCUGUGGAGAGCGUGGGUGACUUGCAACUGGCGGGGUUCUCGCAGUGGUAGCGCGGCAGGCUCAGGAUCAUGGCCUGCAGGGCCUCUUUGGAGGCUGAGGCCGAAACUUCCGAGCCUGACUUGACCGACUUGGUGGACGUGCUGCUGCUGCUCAGCUGCUCUGAGUUGUCGCCGGCCUCGGCCUCCGUCUCCUUCCCCACCUCCCCCGCCUCUUCCUCCUCCGCCUCUGCCUCCGAGACCACAGCCUCGGCAGCCCCAGAUGGGUGCGCGCCCGGGGCCCCACUGGUUCCCGCCUCUGCGCACUUGUCCUGGGCGGGCGCAUCCCCCUGACCAGCGGUGGGCGCCGCCGGCGACUCCUGCCCCGGGGCUUCGCCCGGCUCCGCUUUGCCCGCCGCGGGCUCCGCUGGGGCCUGGGCUGCCUGCGCGCCCAGGCAGUUGGACACCGACAGAGCCGUGGCGGAGGAGACAGAGAUAUUCUGAUUGGCGAUCUGCACGGUGACGUCCCGGAAAGCCAUCAUGAGGGUGCUGCUGUGGCCCUGGGGCGGGCCGGCGGCCUCGGCAGCCUCUUCCCCGGGCGCGGGGCGGACACUGUCCAGCUCCCGCAUGUCGGCCUCCAGGCCUGGUGGCCCCGCGCCCGCGCGCAAGGCCUGGUGGAGCUGGUAAGCGCCGCUCUCCUGCAGGGAGCACAUGGUCUUGAGGCUCCAGGUGCUGAGGGCGUCGUCGAUGGACUUGGCCAGGGACUGCACCUGCUCGGUGAAGGAGUCCUCCAGCUCGGUGAGCGUGCCCGCGAAGGUGGGCGGCAGGGAGGGUGAGCGCACCAGCGGCAGCCCCAUGAGGCCGUAGCCCUCCAUGAGCGCCUUCUCGGCCGCCAGGCUCUCGGCCGUGGGCGCCCGCACCUUGCGCAGGGAGAUCCGCCGCGGCAGGCGGCUUUCCAGGAGAGAGUUGCGGAUCUUCUCAAAGUUCUUGCUGAGCUGGUACUGGCGGAAGGCGGUUUGGAUGGUGCAAGCGGCGCGUCGGGACACGAGGUGGCCCCCGUACUUGUGUUCUAGCAUUUCAAUCUGCGAAAAGAACCGGAGAGGAAGGGCCCAGUUAGGACUUAAUCUGGGAGUCCCCAAUUAAGAUUUGAAGGUGUGUUAUUUCUGGUAGUCAGAUAAUGCUGUUGUGGUGGUUAUUUUUAAUUUUUUUAAUUUACUUUUUUUUAAUGUGUAUUAAUUUUUGAGAGAGAGUGACAGAGACAGAGCAU